rnacentral:rRNA from 1 species
GACGAACGCUGGCGGCGUGCUUAACACAUGCAAGUCGAACGGAAAGGCGCUGCUUUUGCUGCGUUGUUGUUUGGCGCACGGGUGAGUAACACGCGAGUAUCCUGCCCUUGUCUUUGGGAUAACUUCUGGAAACUGGGGCUCUUACCGGAUAGGAUCUCUUGCUGCACGGUGUGGGUUGGUAAGUUUCGGCGGUGGUGGCUCGUCUCGCGGCUUAUGAGCUGGUUUGUCUAGUAGUGGCUUACCAAGGGUAUGACGGGUAGCCGGCCUGAGAGAGUGAACGGCCACAAUGGGCCUGAGAUACGGACCAGACUCCUACGGGAGGCAGCAGUGGGGAGUAUGGCACAAUGGGCGGAAGUCUGAGGCAGCAGCGCUGCGUGCGGGAUGCCGGCCUUCGGGUUGUAAACCGCUUUCGCCGGUGACGAAGCGUGAGUGACGGUAAUGGGUAAAGAAGCACCGGCUAACUACGUG